rnacentral:rRNA from 1 species
CACCAACCAACUAGUCCAGUAAUAAAAACCAAAAUUUCAAAAUAACCCCUAAUAAACCUUAAAUAAUUAAAUAAAACAUUCUUACCCUUAGUAAAGGCGAUUGAACAGGAACUAGGAACUAUAAAUAAAGUACCGCAAGGGAAUGUUGAAAUAGAGAUGAAAAAGCCCAGUUAAGAAAAACAAAGCAGAGAUUAAUCCUCGUACCUUUUGCAUCAUGAUUUAGCGAGUAUAACUAGGCAAGAAGCACCUUAGUCUAGAACCCCGAAACUAAGUGAGCUACUCCAAGACAGCAUAUAUUUAGUGCCCACCCGUCUCUGUCGCAAAAGAUGUGGGGAGAGCUUUGAGUAGAAGUGAUAAACCAAUCGGACUUAGUUAUAGCUGGUUUUCUGAGAAAUGAAUAUUAGUUCAGCCCCUAAACUUCUCAACUCACUCAAACUUUAUUUAAACAAACAAUAAAACUUUAAUUGGACAAAAGAAAUUUAGAGAGUAAGUCAAAGGGGGUUCAGCCCCUUUGACCCAAGAGACAACUUUUAUAUCUAGGUAAAGAUCAAAAAUUUUUAAGGCUAAUUAUUUUAGUGGGCCUAAAAGCAGCCAUCUAAAAAGAAAGCGUUAAAGCUCAAAUAAAUUAACCCCUAUAAUAACGAAAAACAAUUCUUAACCUGCUAUCAACCUAUCAGAAUAACUUAUACCCCUAUAAGAGUAACUAUGCUAAUAUUAGUAAUAAGAGAAUAGAUUCUCUCCAAGCACAAGUGUAACUCGAAAUGGACAUACCACCGAGAUAUAACGACCCCAAACCAAAAACAGAGGGAAAAGAAACCAUAGAUAAAUAACGAGAAAACCUUUCUCUUAUUACCGUUAACCCUACACUGGAGUGCACCUAAGGAAAGAUUAAAAGGAAAAGAAGGAACUCGGCAAACCCAAGCCUCGCCUGUUUACCAAAAACACCGCCUCUUGAUCAAUUAAUAUAAGAGGUCUGGCCUGCCCAAUGAUACUGAUUUAAUGGCCGCGGUAUUUUAACCGUGCUAAGGUAGCGUAAUCACUUGUCCUUUAAAUGAAGACCUGUAUGAAUGGUUCGACGAGGGCUUAGCUGUCUCCUUUCCCUAAUCAAUGAAAUUGAUCUCCCCGUGCAAAAGCGGGGAUAAUUAUAUAAGACGAGAAGACCCUGUGGAGCUUAAGAUAGAAUUUCACACUAUGCCAAGAAGCCUAAAUAAGGAGCUCAAGCUAAUAGUCCCUGUAACCUAUCUUCAGUUGGGGCGACUGUGGGGCAUACAAAACCCCCACGAAGACUAAGAACAUAGAAUUAAAACCUCCUUCUUAAAACCUAGAACCACCCUUCAAAACAAUAGAAUAUCUAGCUUUAAUUGAUCCAAUCCGUUGAUCAACGAACCAAGUUACCCCAGGGAUAACAGCGCAAUCCUCUUCCAGAGUUCCUAUCGCCAAGAGGGUUUACGACCUCGAUGUUGGAUCAGGACAUCCUAAUGGUGCAACCGCUAUUGAGGGUUCGUUUGUUCAACGAUUAAAGUCCUACGUGAUCUGAGUUCAGACCGGAGUAAUCCAGGUCAGUUUCUAUCUAUAAAAUGUUUUGCUCUAGUACGAAAGGGCCGAGCAGAAAGGGCCUAUACUAAAAGCACGCUCUACUUUUAACUAAUGUAAUCAACUCAAAUAAUUUAAAAAGCAUUCCUACAAGCUAUAGAAAAUAGCA